AUCUAUGUAUUUAAAUUUAAAAGUGGCAUAAAACAAAAGAAGUGAAAAAAAAAACGUAAAAAAAAAAAGGAAAUAGGUUUUUUUUGUAUAAGUUUUUUGUAACGACUAAUAUAUGUUCAGUGAAGAAAGAGAGCAGAUAAAUCCAUAAAGAGAACAAAAAAUUUAAAAUAAUAGCUGAGGUGAGAUUGAGUUUUGGCGGCCGGCACGGUGGUUGGCUUCGGAGUGACCGACGGUCCUAGAGCAAGAAAAUUUUAUUCCCAAGGUGAUGUGGAGGUUGUGCUGAACAUAAGAUUGAUCCGUCGAUAGACCCGGAUAACCAAGUAACUUUACUAGCCAAAACCAAUCUCACCCCUAUAUUUAUAUAAGUGUUAACUACAUAUACAUAUAUAUAUAUAUCUCUUUGUGCGUUCUCGUUACCCUUUACGCCAAUCCGGCGGGAUAGGAAAAAAGGAUUCGGUUCCUGGCGAAUCGACUCUAGGAUUUGCUUAUAUAUAUAUAGAUAUAUACGUAUACCUAGCUGUCCAACAAAUAACAAAGGAAAAAUUAGUAACGUGACAUUGAAACAACAAAUAUUCAAAUUUAUAACGACUUUAUUUUGUAACUCCUUGUAUCGGUAUAUGUGUCUAGAGUGCGUCGUUAUUUUUUUGUUAGUGUCGAGUAAGCAUUACGGGUAAAGUUCGUCGGGGCGGCGUAGGUUCCCCAUACCCCUCCCUGUCAAAGUAGAGGCAACAUUUUGCAUCCCUUUAGCUACCUAUAGAGAGCUCUUGGUAGGUAGGAUAAAAGAGGAAUUUAUACAGCUGCUUCAUAAAAGGAAGACGGCGUAGAUUUCCGGGGAGAACAAGGGAACUUAAGUCUCCUCCAUACGGAGAAAGUCCCUGUUUUUUUGUUUGUUUUUGGAUUAGGUACACUAGGUACAUAUAUACUUCUGAGGAGAAAUUUUGUAUUUUCCUUUGAUUUUUUUUAUAUUUAAGUUAUUUCAAAUUUUCAAUUUCUUUUAAAUUUACCAAUUUUCUAAUUUUCAAAUUUCGAAAUUAUUCUUUAUAUUUUUUUUAUAUAUUCCAUUUUUGUUUGUUACAAGUCUGUUUAAAUAAAAUGUAAGUCACGUUACAGUGUAGUCGAUUUGUUGUGUUUUUUUUUUGAUUUUAUCAACUUUUGGUGUUCAGAACUUAAAUAUUAUGGAGUGCUGAUUACAAUUUUCAGAGGAGGUGUGGUAGGGCUGGAUAAUGCUCUUCAGUGAACCGGGUUCUUCAACGUAAUCUUCAGCUUCAAAGACUAGUAAGGGGAGUUCGAAAGUAAAGGCCAGUCGAACUCCAGGUUGGGUGGGUACGGCCAUGCUGCAACAACAGCCGCAGCGUUCCCGAGGUGUGUCAGGUCCGGCGUGAAUGUCGUGUUAUCCGGUGAUAGUGUGUCAGGUCGAGCGUGAAUGUAGUGUAGUUUGGAGAUGGUGUGUCUUGUGAUGGUGUGUCGGUCGUAGUGUGUCGAGAGUUCUGUGUCUGGUGGCGGUGUGUAGGUUGUCCUGUGUUUGGUGUUCUUUACUUGUAGUGCUAGUUUGGAAGUCAUGUUUUGGUUGUAGUGUG